GAACAAGUUAAAUUCAAUACUUUAAGACCUUUUUAAGUCCCAUUAUGAAUUAACUAACUAACUACUUGUGUGUCUCAAAUAGCGCACUUUUGUACUGAUACUAUUUGAGUACAGAGUGCACUCACAUUGUCGAAGUGUGGUCAAAUGCAGUACACUUAAGAGUACCCAGAUGGUGGACUUGUAACGGUCAAAAAGUUGAGUGUGGAUUGAUGGACACUUUCCACCCUCAACGGUAGCCAUCUUGGCUAUGUAGCAGGAGGGGCGGAGCUAACAAAAGUUGAAAAACUAUCAACAAUGGCAGCCGAGGAUGCAAUAGCAAGACCGACGGAGCAAUACAAAUUUUCUCUCUAGUGUCAGCUUGGCGUCGGCCAUGGCAUGUCAUCACACCGAAGCGUCAUCCUCAAACAGCACAGUCUCUCUCACAGUGUGCCAAGCAACAGUGAUGGCUUCAGGGAGGGAAGUCAACUUUGCUGUCACAAGCACAUUCUUCACGAUUGUACAAGGUGCUGUCAGACCAGAGGAGCCAAGCAAGACCAAGUGAGCAGAGUUGAAUGGCCUUUUCUCUGCCGUUAACGCGGCUUGUCUGCCAACAUUACCGUGCAUAUGGUCCGUGUGUUCCCAUGUGGCCAGUCUGUGCAAAAAACAUGCAGCACUUAAAGCUGCUAUCUUUGCCUACGCAGACAAGCUGGAGAAGCACACACAUACAGUAUAUGCAGACUGUCUCCUCUUUGUCCGUCUGCCCUGCAUCCCAUGAUUCCAGUUGACAGCAGCAGACGUGUCACAGCUGGCUCUGAGACCAAACUUGAACAAAGGCAGGUUAUGCCAAGUAGGUCACACAUCUUCUUAAAGGCUUCAAUCCCCUUUUUCCCCCCACAGGAUCUUCAGAAUUCUGGCUGUUUAAUUUCUUGUGUCAUUUGGUUUUAUGGCCCACAUACGUAUAAUAAAUAACACAUACACACCUCACAUACCAAAUCAAACUCUGCAUUUCCAAUGAAAUUUGGAGAGAAGAAAAAUGUUAUCACAGUGCUGAGAUUCAGGGUGGUCUAAACAAUUUUACGUAUGCAUGGCUCUAGUUUUCUUUUUUUAUAAAUUAGUUAUUAAUGGUGACAUGCACACAAACAACUGCCCAGCCCACAUGGGCUUGUAAAACACCAAAAUAAUGAUGCUGUUUUCUUAGACUAUAACAAACCUUCUUACAAAUGGUAAUAUAAUACAAACAGAGACCUUUGUAUAACGUUCCAAUCUCUAAAAUAAAAUCAGAAAAAAACAGUCCCUUUCUAAAACACCACUCAGGUUAUUUUAUAAUUGUCCAACCAGAACAGAAUUGUCCGACUUAUCCAAAAUGACAGACAUUUUACUAAAGCAUGUUUUACAAUAUAAUAAAAGAAACAACAUUGUUCUUUACACAAAAAACAAAGCCUUCGCU